UCCUGCCGGCCCACCGCCGCCGCGGGCUCGGCUCCCACCUUCUCGACGCGGUGCGGAGGCACAUGGCGCUCGCCUUUGAGGUCGGCCGGGAGGGACUCGCCUUUUGCCAGCCGACCGAGGCGGGCUGCGCCCUCGCCGCCUCGUACGUGGGGGAGGAGCGGCUGCUCGUGUACGCCUCGGCGGAGGACGCGUCGCGGGACGCAUCCGAUUCCGCGACGGGCAAGACGUAAUUACCCGCACCGUGGAGAGACCGGGAGGCACGGGCCGGACGUCUCCUACCCGCUACCGGUGAGCGAUGUGCAUGUG
rnacentral:RNase_MRP_RNA from 1 species